UCAAAAUAUUUUAAUUUCCUCCAUGAUUCGUAAAUCCCUCCGUACAUCAUGGUCAUCUGGCCAUCGAACGGUGUGGUAUCGUGAUAUAAAUAUAAAAUUAUUACCAAGGUAGAUUUUUUUUUGAUAAUAAUUGUUUAAUUAUUAUUAUUAUUAGACGUGCAUGGUUUUCUUAGAAUGUGUUGUAUUAUUUUCGUAUAGAUAUCAUUUAAAAUAUCAAGAAAAUAAUUUUAAAAAUAAUAAUUAUUAAUUAUAAUUACCUAUUACAUAAUAUAGACAUAUAGUAUUAACAAUUUGAAGAGUUUGUAUGUUAGAACUCGUUUAUCUCGGAAAAUAUAUAUGAUUGACAGUGAAUUCAAUAAAAGGUCUGCCAGAUAAGCCAUUCCCUUCGAUAUUUGCCAGGCAAAUUUCAAAAUAUCUCUUGGACUGAUCGGAUAAAGUGGAAACAUCAUAGAUAUCGGACUUUCAUUUUGUUGGACAUUUCCUGCAGCAUUGGAAAUAAGGCCACUUGUAUUGUUGUCUAGGAUUCUACUCUUUCGGAGGUCUACUACACUACUCCAACUGCGCGUCACACGAGUUUCACGUGUCGACAAGUUUUUCUUAAAACAGUCAUGCUCAGUUUUUCGAUUGUCUCCCGCAACCCCUCCACAGUGGACGACUUAUUUUAUACUUUUUCUUUUUAUGUCUAAAAU